rnacentral:rRNA from 2 species
UGGGGUGAAGUCGUAACAAGGUAACCGUAGGGGAACCUGCGGUUGGAUCACCUCCUUACCUUAAAGAAGC